rnacentral:rRNA from 1 species
UACGGAGGGUGCGAGCGUUGUCCGGAAUCACUGGGCGUAAAGGGCGCGUAGGCGGCGAGGAUAGUCAACGGUGAAAGCUUGGGGCUCAACCCCGAGUCGGCCGUCGAUACUUCCUUGCUUGAGCACUGUAGAGGCAGAUGGAAUUCCGGGUGUAGCGGUGGAAUGCGUAGAGAUCCGGAAGAACACCGGUGGCGAAGGCGGUCUGCUGGGCAGUAGCUGACGCUGAUGAGCGACAGCGUGGGGAGCAAACAGG